GUGGCUGUAGCUCAAUUGGUUAGAGCGCCUGCCUGUGGAGCAGGAGGUUGCCGGUUCAAUUCCGGUCAGCCACC
rnacentral:tRNA from 1 species